CCCUGGUGGUGCUAGUGGUGAAGCAUCUGCCUGCAAAGCAGGAGACCUGGGUUCGAUCCCUGGGUCAGGAA
rnacentral:tRNA from 1 species